rnacentral:rRNA from 1 species
UAAGCGGAGNAAAGAAACUAACAAGGAUUCCCCUAGUAACUGCGAGUGAAGCGGGAAAAGCUCAAAUUUAAAAUNNGGUGGUCUUUGGCCAUNCGAGUUGUAAUCUAGAGAAGCGUCUUCCGCGCUGGACCGUGCACAAGUCUCCUGGAACGGAGCGUCGUAGAGGGUGAGAAUCCCGUCUUUGGCAUGGACACACCAGGGCUUUUGUGAUGNGCUCUCGAAGAGUCGAGUUGUUUGGGAAUGCAGCUCAAAAUGGGUGGUGAACUCCAUCUAAAGCUAAAUAUUGGCGAGAGACCGAUAGCGAACAAGUACCGUGAGGGAAAGAUGAAAAGCACUUUGGAAAGAGAGUGAAACAGUACGUGAAAUUGUUGAAAGGGAAACGCUUGAAGUCAGUCGCGUCGACCGAGACUCAGCCUCGCCUCGGCUUGGCGUACCUCUCGGCCCGACGGGUCAGCAUCAAUUUCGCCUCUUGGAUAAUGGCGAGGGAAACGUGACACCUUUACGGUGUGUUAUAGUCUCUCGUCGCAUGCAAGGGUCGGGAUUGAGGAACUCAGCACGCGCCUUUGGGCGUCGGGGCUUUGCCUACGAUACGUGCUUAGGAUGUUGGCGUAAUGGCUUUAAACGACC